rnacentral:rRNA from 1 species
UACAACGAAGAGUUUGAUCCUGGCUCAGGAUGAACGCUAGCGGCAGGCCUAACACAUGCAAGUCGAACGGUAAGGCCCUUUCGGGGGUACACGAGUGGCGCACGGGUGAGUAACGCGUAUGCAACCUACCUCUGACAGGGGGAUAGCCCGGAGAAAUCCGGAUUAAUACCCCAUAUCACCUUUUUUUUUCUUCCUUUAGAGGUCAAAGCUCCGGCUGUCGUAGCUGGUCUUGCGUGCCAUUAGCUAGUUGGUAGGGUAACGGCCUACCAAGGCUACGAUGGUUAUGGGGUCUUAAAGGAUGGUCCCACACACUGGUACUGAGACACGGACCAGACUCCUACGGGAGGCAGCAGUGAGGAAUAUUGGUCAAUGGGCGCAAGCCUGAACCAGCCAUGCCGCGUGCAGGAAGACUGCCCUAUGGGUUGUAAACUGCUUUUGCACGGGAAGAAACCCCCCCACGAGUGGGGGCUUGACUGUACCGUGAGAAUAAGCAUCGGCUAACUCCGUGCCAGCAGCCGCGGUAAUACGGAGGAUGCAAGCGUUAUCCGGAUUUAUUAGGUUUAAAGGGUGCGUAGGCGGACCUGUAAGUCAGUGGUGAAAUCCCGUGGCUCAACCACGGAACUGCCGUUGAAACUGUAGGUCUUGAGUGCGGUCGAGGUAGGCGGAAUGUGUAAUGUAGCGGUGAAAUGCUUAGAUAUUACACAGAACACCGAUUGCGUAGGCAGCUUACUAGACCGUAACUGACGCUGAUGCACGAAAGCGUGGGUAGCGAACAGGAUUAGAUACCCUGGUAGUCCACGCCGUAAACGAUGAUCACUCGCUGUGUGCGAUAUAUUGUACGUGGCCAAGCGAAAGCAUUAAGUGAUCCACCUGGGGAGUACGUCGGCAACGAUGAAACUCAAAGGAAUUGACGGGGGCCCGCACAAGCGGAGGAACAUGUGGUUUAAUUCGAUGAUACGCGAGGAACCUUACCUGGACUUAAAUGCAGUCGGCCGGACGAAGAAAUUUGUCUUUCCGCAAGGACCGGCUACAAGGUGCUGCAUGGCUGUCGUCAGCUCGUGCCGUGAGGUGUCGGGUUAAGUCCCAUAACGAGCGCAACCCCUAUCAUUAGUUGCCAGCGCGUCGCGGCGGGGACUCUAAUGAGACUGCCACCGUAAGGUGUGAGGAAGGUGGGGAUGACGUCAAGUCAGCACGGCCCUUACGUCCAGGGCUACACACGUGUUACAAUGGCCGGUACAAAGGGCAGCUACCUGGUGACAGGAUGCCAAUCCCCAAAGCCGGUCACAGUUCGGAUCGAAGUCUGCAUCUCGACUUCGUGUAGCGUGAUUCGCUAGUAAUCGAGCAUCAGCCACUGCGCGGUGAAUACGUUCCCGGGCGUUGUACUCGUCGGCUGUUAAGCCAUGGAAGCUGGUCACGCUUAAAGUCGGGAAGCUAACCGAAAGGGGGCUACCGCCAAAGGCAGGGCCGGUGACUGGGACGAAGUCGUAACAAGGUAGCUGUAGCGGAAGCUGCGGCUGGAUCACCUCCU